rnacentral:lncRNA from 10 species
UUGCAGAGUCUGUAAGAAGAGUACAUGCAGAAUCUACAAGAAGAGUACAUUCUGAAUUAUUUGAUUACUCAAAUGAUAAAAUGGUUCAGAGGUUCAUGUCCAGUCUUGUUACAUAGGUAAACUCAUGUCAUGGGAGUCUGAUGUACAGAUUAUCACCUGAUUAUUAAGCCUAGUACCAACAGUUAUUUUUUCUGCUCUUUUUCCUCCUCCCACCCUCCACCCUCUUGUAGGCCCCUGUUUCUCUUGUUCCCCUCUUUGUGUCUGUGUGUUCUCAUGACUUAGCUCUUUCUUAUUUGUAAGAAUAUGUAUUUGGUUUUCUGUUCCUGCAUUAAUUUGCUAAGGAUAAUGGUGUCUAGCUUCAUUGACAUUUUUGCUAUAAACUUUAUCUCAUUCUUUUUUUACAGCUGCAUAUGUACUACAUUUUCUUUAUCCAGUCUUCCACUGAUGGUCAUUGAGGUUGAUUCUAUGUCUUUGCUAUUGUCAGUAGUGCUGCAAGGAACCUAUGUGUAUAUGUGUUUUUAUGAUAGAACAAUUUAUAAUGCUUUGGAUAUAUACCCAGUAAUGCGAUUGCUGGGUUGAAUAGAUGUUCUGUUUUUCGCUCCUUGAGGAAUCACCACACUGCUUUCCAAAAUAGUUGAACUAAUUUCUACUCCCAUCUAUAGUAUAUAAGCAUUCUCUUAUCUCCACAAUCUCAUCAGCAUCUGUUAUUUUUUUGACUUUUUAAUAGUAGCCAUUAUAACUGGUGUGAGAUGGUGUUCAUUGUGGUUUUGAUCUGCAUUUGGGAAAAGGACAGUCUAGUCAAAAACUGGUGUGAGAAAAACUGAAUAUCCACAUGCAAAAAAAAUGAAAUUGGGCCUUUCUCUCUCACUAUAUACAAAAAUCAACUCGAAUGGAUUGAGGACCCAAAUAUAAGAUCUGAAACUAUGAAACAUAGAAGAAUACAUAGGAGAAAAGCUCCAUGAUGUUGGUUUGGGCAAUAAUUUUUGAAUAUGACCUCAGAUGCAUAGGUAACAAAAGC